CUUUCCCCAGCUUCAUGGAGAAGAAGCAUGGUGUUGAAGCAAGAAAAGCUGGGCAAGGAGCCUGUGCAAAAUCAAGGCUGUACCACUUCUCAAAGGAACCCAUAAAUGAUUUAGGCCACUGUUCACGAAUGAAAAUGCCUGUGGGGUCCAAGACGUACUGUACAUAUUCCCAUCACUCCAUUUACCGCCCUGCUUGUAUCUGCUGACUUCACUGAACUAUGAGCACCUAGAUGAUCACCCAUGGAAAAUGUGGCUCCUUUUGUUAAGAUUAGGUCUGAGCUAACAUCUGCAUCAGUCUUCCUCCAUUUUAUAUGUGGGACACUACUACAGCAUGGCUGAUGAGUGAUGUAUGUCCUUGCCUGUGAUAUGAACCCAUGAACCCAGGCCAGCAAAGAGGAGUGCACCAAACUCAA
rnacentral:lncRNA from 1 species